UGAACAUUUGAGUUGAGCAUUCUUAAACCAUGGCCCUUUACAAUCCUUUCUGGACUAAUCCAGAUGUGAAAACUGGACCUUAGACCACAUGAGUGUUGGAAAUCCUGCGGAAUCGGUGGUAGAGUUUGGAAGAGGAGACACUUCCUUCCCUCUAUACGCCCACUGCUACCCCCUCAUACCGUGGGCCUGAGGUUAAGAACAGCUACUCAUUCACCAGGUCACAUAGCCAGUGUAACAGCAUCUGGAUUUGAACUUGGCAUCUGUAGAUGUUAAGGUGCCAUGCUCACCACCUCCAGGGAGAUCUUGUCACAGACUUCCAGGUCCUUUCCUGCACCCUCUCGAGUCCCAUGGGUCCCCGUCCCACACCAGCACCCGCAGCCCUGCAGCAGUGUGAGACGAUGUGUCUGGGGAAUGGGAGGCUGGCAGAGAACAUACCAGGUCCUUCCCUUUUACUGGAUGUUGUCAGUUUGGACUCCAACCAACUUCUGUUUAGAAUAUUUCAGAAGAAAACUAUGAAAAACAACUGGCAAACAGGAUGAAGGGCUUAGUAUGGAAUUUCAGAAUUUCCGGCCCGUCCCACUCACCUUCCAGGCUCACCUAACCUCAGGCCUCACAAGAACGUCGCUUGAUGCCCCCUGUACCUCCCCUCAGUGUCCCCACAACUGCCUUGGUUCCCCUGCAGCCUGGAAUGGCCAUCUCCUCCUCAUUACUGGAAGCACACUCACCUUCCAGGAAGUCCUCCAGGACUGCUCUGUCUCCCCUUGGCUAAGCUCCUGAAUUAAGCCACCAUGUUCACAGCAAAGGGGCACGGUUGCAUUACCCAUCUGUGGUUGUGGGGGUUUGUCUCACUAAGCAUCUUGAGAGGACAGACUAUAAUCUGCUACAUCUUAGUGCCCGCAUACGGAGCAAGAUACUGUUCCCAGGGAAGCAAAAGUACCAACAGCCACACCAGCAUAGAUCUGAUGAAGACUCACAUCUCUGAUCUCAUCUGAACCCUGUAACGGCCCCAUGAGGAAGUCUACCCAUUCUACAGAUGUGACGACUGACACCGAGAGGCUAAGGGAUUCUCGCAAGACCAGCAGAGUACCAUCAAGGGACCUUCAGAGACUCUAUUCAGAACAGAAGAAUCACCUAGCAAAAGCCCCUGCCUCAUUUCUGACCCACAAAAUCGUUAGAUACAA